UAAGGAACUUGCCUCUUGGUCUGGGACAACUGUUGGAAACGACAGCUAAUACCGGAUAUUAUGAGAUUCUCGCAUGGGAAACUUAUGAAAGCUAUAUGCGCCAAGAGAGAGCCUUGCGUUCCAUUAGCUAGUUGGUGGGGUAACGGCCCACCAAGGCGACGAUGGAUAGCCGGCCUGAGAGGGUGAACGGCCACAAGGGGACUGAGACACGGCCCUUACUCCUACGGGAGGCAGCAGUGGGGAAUAUUGGACAAUGGGCCACAAGCCUGAUCCAGCAAUUCUGUGUGCACGAUGAAGGUCUUCGGAUUGUAAAGUGCUUUCAGUUGGGAAGAAGAAAGUGACGGUACCAACAGAAGAAGCGACGGUUAAAUACGUGCCAGCAGCCGCGGUAAUACGUAUGUCGCAAGCGUUAUCCGGAUUUAUUGGGCGUAAAGCGCGUCUAGGCGGAAAAAUAAGUCUGAUGUUAAAAUGCGGGGCUCAACUCCGUAUUGCGUUGGAAACUGUUUUUCUAGAGUACUGGAGAGGUGGGCGGAACUACAAGUGUAGAGGUGAAAUUCGUAGAUAUUUGUAGGAAUGCCGAUGGAGAAGUCAGCUCACUGGACAGAUACUGACGCUAAAGCGCGAAAGCGUGGGGAGCAAACAGG
rnacentral:rRNA from 1 species